rnacentral:lncRNA from 1 species
UACCUGUACCUGUAUUUUAGUUUUAACUACACCUGGGAGAUUUUAACAUCAUUUAAUCUCUGGGUUGAAGGAUGGUAAGCUUCCCGAAGAUUCAAUUCAUGAUCUUGCUUGUGGCCUUGUUAGAGCUCUUCUGUAAGUAACUUUAGCCUUCAUUGUUCUUUUGUAACACUUGUUGUUUCGGGCAUGAAUAACCUUUCUGGUGUUCUGUCUACUAUACCAGAUACUUACAUUCAAAGGGAAUAAUUUACUGUGACUUAAAGCCAUCAAACAUCCUAUUGGAUGAAAAUGGAAUCACGAAGGUAUGGUGAUCUUUAUGUUGAGAUUUUUCCACAUCAUGAUGAGUGCUUUUGACCAAUUAUAUGAUUUUGAAGUUCAAUUUGUUUCCUGGCAGCUGUGUGAUUUUGGAUUAGCAAGAAAAUUGAGUGAUAUAUCAAAGACACCUUCCUCCCAGGUAGUUCAACUCUCUUUCCCCUCCUUUUCCCCCUAAAAUGAACACAGGAAAAGUUAAAUUGGUGGCAUAACUGUUUUGCAGUUCAUAAAAGGUAAAUGCCUGAAUGGUGCACUAGUCAAUUCACUUUUUUUAAUAAUGGUAGUGUGUGGGUUCGUUUGCGCGCACCUCCUCCACCAACAUAGGUACCAACUGGGUAACUCUAUCCACCACUUCUUAGGAGGAUGACAAGAAACCACAAAGUGUUUUUUGUUGUUAUUAAGAUUUGAACCCUAAUUUCCAAGGUUUGCACCCACUUCAUUGGUCCACUUUCUUGGGUGACUGACUCUGCACAAGUCAAGUCUGGUCACUUUUGUGUUUGUAGAAGUGGUUUAUAUUCAUCUGUAAGAGAAAUUCUAAAGGUAUUGUGACAGCUUUUGCAAAUUGUUGGUUCUUACAUUAGGCACUUUCUCAUCUUCGAUGGAGUAAUUAUCUGAGGCUGCACUUUGGAAUUAGGAAGCUGAGCCAGAAAACAUAAAAUGAAGCCAAAAGAAAUAGAUUUUUAUUCUUCUGGUGCAGGAAGUGAGGAAAACUUAAGAGGAACACGGUUUCCGUUGUUUGGACAUUAAAAAGAAGCAAAAGAAACAUCUUACAAUGAGCUAACUUCUCGACAUUUCUGCAGAAAUUCUCUAAGUUAUUCUUUUUCGGUCUGUCUAGAGAAAUUUCAAAGUCAAGAGGACGCACAAGUUUUCUCAAAGAUCUUACAAUUACUUGACUUCUUCCUUUCUUUGCUUUUACUUUUCAAUUCACAAUCAAACAUGGAAAACACAGUUCUAAAUUUUUGCAUGUUUCCUUUAAUCAACUACCGAAUAGAAUAUAGAUUUUAUAAAGUGAUAUUUAUUGCUUUUGGUUUUGAUUUGUGUCCUUUCCCUGCUGUUGUCAUUCAUAUGUGCUAUUUUUGUAUCAUGUAUUUUUCAGUUACCACAAAUAAAGCGAGGAACCCCAUAUUACAUGGCUCCAGAGCUUUUCCAGGAUGGAGGGGUCCAUUCCUAUGCCUCUGAUUUCUGGGCUCUUGGUUGCGUCUUGUUUGAAUGCUAUGCUGGGAUACCUCCUUUUGUUGGCAAAGAAUUUACCCAGUUAGUGAGAUCAGUCAUUUCUGAUCCAACUCCAGCACUUCCUGGCACCCCAAGCCGCCCCUUGGUCAAUCUGAUUAACUCUCUUCUAAUAAAAGAUCCUUCUGAAAGAAUGCAGUGGGCCGAGCUUGCAGGACAUGCUUUCUGGAAAACAAGAUUUGCUCCAGUGCCUUUACCUCCUCAGCCUGCUUUUGAUAAUAUGAUAGAAAUGUCUUCUAAACAAUGCCUUUCAGAAAGGAACAGUGAAAAGCCUAUACAAAACAAGACCCCACAAAAGACUCGUGAAAAAGAUUCAAAGGUGUCCCUCAAGCAUGAUGAAAAUUCAAAUACUGGAUCCAGAGGUUACGUGACACCAAUUAAAGGCAUAUCCAGCGGCCGGAAAGUUCAAAUGAAGGGUUCUGGCAGGACAACUGAUGACAAGCAGAAAGACACCUCGAACAAUACUAGAGGUGUCAAUCUAUUACGUCUUUCAAGAAUUGCAAAAUCAAAUUUAAUGAGGGAGAAUGAGAAGGAGAACUACCGCAGGCCAUUGCCUAAUAACUCUGAGAAUGAUGCUGAACUUAAGGUUGAAAAUACUGACAUGGAACUUGACUUUAAUGAGAAUAAUGAGGAUGAUACACAAGAUGAACCUGAUGAAACUGACAGCACUCAGAGUCCUGAGUCAACUACUUCAACUCCAAAUCUUACAGAGGGUAAUGUGGAAGAGAUGGAUAUUGAUAGCAGACAUCCAGAUACACCAGCGGUGGUUAAUACGCCUUGCUCAGAUUAUUCAAGGACAUCUGACCAUGAACAGUCUUCUAAAUAUGAGGUGGCUGCUAUGCUACCUAACGAUAGCCCUCAGCUAAAGACUCCUGUGAUUAAAGAGAAUUCUGCGAAUGACUCUGAUAUUUCAAAACCAUCUACGAACCUUUCAGAUAUUCUUUGGCAUCCAUCUGAUCUCUCAGUCAGACCUGUAAUGCCUAGCAGAAAAUCAGAUAAAGGUUCAGAUGCAAUACCUUCACUUUCAUUCGAUGCACCUCAACUGUCUGAUUUUGUCAAAAUGUCAAAGGAGCAAUUAGACUCUUUUAAUAGUAGAAUCAUCAGUAUUGUUAGUGGGAAUACUCCCUCAGGGGAGAAGCAAAAUGUGAUCAGAUACCUUGAGCUUUUGAGCAGCAAUGCUGAUGCAGCCAACAUCUUGACCAAUGGGUCUAUUAUGUUGGUUCUAGUCAAAAUGCUUCGUCACUCCAAGGUUACUCUGUUGCGUGCUCAACUUGCUUCACUUAUUGGUUUGUUGAUUCGUCACUCUACUUUUAUUGGGGAUGAGCUGGCAAAUUCUGGAAUAUUAGGUGCACUAACUGAUGGUCUGAGAGACAGGCAAGAGAAAGUGAGAAGGUUUUCCAUGGCUGCUUUGGGUGAAUUACUAUUUUAUAUAUCUACUCAAAAUGAGCAUGCUCGGGAUAACAAACCAAUGGAAUCUCCAUCUAAGGACAGCCGACCCUCAUCCUGUUGGCAGGUAACUUCGUUGCUGUAAUUUCUUAUUUGGUGCAGCUUGUCAAGCUAAUUACUCCCUCCGUUUUCAUUUUUGUCCGAUUUUGACUUGGCAUAGCAUUUAAGAAAGUAAAGAAGAUUUUUGAAUCUUGUGAACUUAAAUUAAAUGUGUAGAAUGUACCAAAUGUUCUUAAAUCUUGUGGUCUUAAACAUGUCAUAUGAAAAGAUGAAAUUAAAUAGUUGCAAAAGAGAAGGCACAUUGUUUUUGAAAAGGACCAAAAAGGAAAGUAGGACAAACAAAUUAAAAUGGAGGGAGUUAUAUUUGUUAAAAUUCCUCUCCACAAUAAAUUCCUCUCCAGUCAAGAACUCACAUGUUCAAAAAUUGCAUGUUGCGGAGAUGAGGAUGCUGAGAUGGAUGAGUGGGCACACUAGGAGUGAUAAGAUUAGGAAUGAGGUUAUCCGAGAGAAGGUGGGAGUGGCCCCCUGUGGUGGACAAGCUGAGGGAAGCGAGACUGAGACGGUUUGGGCAUGUGAAGAGGCGGUGCGCAGACGCUCCAGUGAGGAGGUGCGAGGGUCUGGUGGUAGAGGGUACGCAGAGGGGUAGAGGUAGGCCUAGGAAGUAUUGGGAAGAGGUGAUUAGACAGGACUUGGCUCAGCUUCACAUCACCGAGGACAUGACUCUAGAUAGGAAGGAGUGGAGGUCGCGUAUUAAGGUUGAAGGUUAGUAGGGGUAGCGAGUUGUCCUCCCUUGCGAGGGUAUGGGUUGGUAGUGUUUGUAGUAGUCCUAGCCUGGCACUUGUAGUUCUUGCCUGUGAUCCUAUAGUCAUAUGUUGUUUACUGCGUUUCGCCUCUCGAAGUAUUUUCCUGAUGUUAUUGUCUCCGUUGUUGAUUGUGCAUUGUUUCUUAUUGGGUGUUAUGUUAUGUAUAAUGUUUCCUCUUCGCCUGCUUGGUUUGGAUGUACUUGAGCCGAGGGUCCACCGGAAACAGCCUCUCUACCUCCACGAGGUAGUGGUAAGGUCUGCGUACACUUUACCCUCCCCAGACCCCACUUUGUGGGAUUUCACUGGGUAUGUUGUUGUUGUUGUUGUUAUUGCAAUGGGAUUUUAAGUAUUAAGUGUUCUAUGAGCAAUCACUUAAAAGCAUAGACACUAUCAGAAACACAAUUCAAGCACCAAUGCAGCUCUUGUGAGAAAUAAUGCAAGUUAUCACUAGGAUAUAAAUGGUAUACUUAUUAAUGGGUUAAACACCAGUAAUCUUUUAAUUAGUGAUAAUUAUACAGUCACGUAUACUAUCAGACAUGUAAGUGUAUACAAUGAUUAUCUUGUAGUAAAUCAUGUCUAUAAAUCUGCAUGGGACAAAUUUCUAACAUGAAGAAUAAGAUGGAUGACAAAUGAUAACUUGGCAUAGACUUCAAUUUUUCCUGUUAGCUAUCUGUCCCACAUCACGAAAUAUUGUAGAAUCUAUAUAUACAAGAUUCUACAAGUUUUUCUCUGUAUUUUACUGGAAGAACUAAUAAGCUGGUAAUUCCCUUGUAAUGCAACACUAUAUAGCAGUAAAAUGAACAAGAGUGUUAAGAUAUUUCUCUUAGGGUUGUGGGAAAAAUAAGAUAAAAUCAUACAAGCAUCUAUACUAUCUUUACAUAAAAUAAGAUAAAAUCAUACAAGCAUCUAUACUGUCUUUAAUUCUUUACAUAUUGCAAAGCCUCACAUUCUGUCUUAACAUUCCUUUCUGAAAAUGUUAAUGUUGUAGGUUACAAAUCCAAUAAUUUCAUUGGUUUCAUCACUUUUACGAAACGGAGAGGAUGAUAUUACUCAACUUUAUGCUCUGAGGACAAUUGAAAAUAUCUCCAGUCAAGGAGGGUACUGGUCUGCUCGUUUCACCAGCCAAGAUGUCAUUACUAACCUCUGCUACAUAAUUAGGGCUCCUGGAAAGCAGGAGAGCAUGAGGCUGACAGCAGGGUCUUGCUUGGCUCGUCUUGUUCGUUUUAGCCCUUCUAGUAUUCAACGAGUCAUGGAAAAACUUUCAUUCAAGGAUAUGGUUUCAAGCCUGGUCAAGCGUAAUCCACGAGAGCAACAAAUCUGCUUAAACGUUCUGAACAUGACCCUCCUUGAAAGUCACACACUUCCAAGUGUUGGAAGGUACCUUCUUGCCUUGGUCGAAGACAAGAAUCUUGUUCUGAAUCUUGUGACUCUAAUUGAGCAGGGAAGUGAAGUUUUGAAGGGAAAGACACUCAUAUUUGUGGCUCUACUUUGUAUGAAUGGGAAGAGGUGGCUGCCACUAUUUUUUUGCAAUGCUAAACUGCUCUCAACCGUUGAUAGGUUGGUUAAGGAGAAGGAUGACUUUGUGAAGCAGUGUUUAGAUGCACUUGGGAUGGUUGUCGCAUCAACUGUACCAAGUUUGCUUGAGUGUAUAUCUGGGGACAUUCAGCAACUGAAGGGUGGUAAACGCCGUGGGCAGAUAAUUAGUGUCACAAGUCGAAAUUCUUCUAAGAACAGUAUGCAUUUAUUUCCUGUUGUUCUCCAUCUUCUUGGGUGCGCUUCACUGAAAAGAAGGGUUGCUAGUCAUCAGGUUCUGCAACAGUUGGCAAAUCUACUUAAACUGGUGGAGUCUCCUUUCCAGGUAAUCUGAUGAUAUCUUUAUUACUUCUUCUAAUUGUAAAAUUCCACAUAUAAGACAAGGUUCUUAGUUAGAAGAAAAGAAAAAUCCAAAUGUUCCAAAAGCCCACAUAGAAGACAUAUAACCCUUGUCCUAGAUUUGGAACCUUCAAUUUAAUAUGGUUCGUUUGCAAGACCUCCUAGUAAUCGUCACCUGAGCCAAGUGUUAGCUACCAAGCUAAUAUAAGCUCCAAACUCUGGUAAAGAAGGGUGGGCGUAGGGGUGCAUAAGAUUAGGCUGAUGAUCUGUCAAUGUGGACUGUGUAUUUUAAACACUUAAGGGUCGCUUGGUAGGAUGUAUUACCCUUGGUAUUAUUUAAUACCUUGUCUGGAAGUGUUUUCAACGUAUGUAUAGCUAAUAUAUCUAUAACUAAUCCUAUUUAGUAUUAUAGGGUGUAUAACUAAUACAUAGCAACCCAUGGUAUUAGCAAAACCAGGGUUAUUGAUACUUGGUUAAAGACAGAACUACCUUGAAUACGCCAACCAAAUCACGGAUAAGAAAUGAUCCCAGCAUUGCUAAUAAUACCCUAUUCAGUACUAUUCUUAUACACCCUACCACACGGCUUAGGGAUUUAGCUUAGUUUGCUCAAAAUUUUGAUCCAUGAUAAACUGAAGAUGCAUGCAGAAGAUUGGGUUUCUUGUUGGUCUACGAAGCCCUUACACGAUUCUUACUUUCGGUUGCAGGGUAGAGAUGAUUUUCAGAUAACACUUUUACGUGUUCUUGAGUCUAUAGCAGAGGAGAUGUCUCUGGUUCAAGAAAGUUCUAGUAUUUUUGUUAGCCAGAUUCUACCUAGUUUAUCUGUUGUUUACAAAGGGAAUAAAGAUGGAGAUGCCAGAUUCUUGUGCCUGAAGAUUUUGUUUGAUGUGAUGGUCAUUUUACUGGACGAAACAUCUGAAAAUGAACAGAAGCCGGAGAAUUUGAAGUCCAUAUCUAAUUCUUACUUCCUCCCUCUCUACCCCUCUUUGAUUGAGGAUGAGGACCCAAUACCUGCGUAUGCUCAGAAACUUCUUGUGAUGCUCAUUGAGUAUAACCAUAUAAAAAUUGCAGACAUUGUCCACAUGAAGAUUAUCUCCCAGUGCUUUGAAUUUCUCCUUGGUGAUUUCUCAACUGCAAAUGUCAACAAUGUACUGCUCUGCUUGGCUCUUACAUCUGCUCCAGAGCUGGAAACCAAAUCGCUCUCCCAACUAAAAGUUGUCAGAAAGAUCGGAAGCCUUUUGGAAUUUGUAUAUGCUAAGGAGAUGGAAGAUUUCAUUGAACCUACGCUUUGUUUGUGUAGGGCUUUCCUUUUACGCUCAGUAGGCAGUGUGAGAGGCUCUAGGUUUGCAAAAGAACCUGUUCGUUUAUUUGAAAAUUCCUCUGAUGGAGCUAGUGCCUUUGAUCAAAAUGAAUGCAUCAGAGAUAUUAUGGACUUUGGUGAAAAUGUUGGGGUCUUAUUAGAACUCACCCAUUUGAAUGAGACUAAUGUUGCAGAUUUAGCUUCUGAAUGCCUAAUUUUAUUGCUCAAGGCAGCUCCGAGGGAAGCUACCACUGGAUUCCUGACAAAUCUUCCCAAAGUCAGUCUCAUCCUUGAGUCAUGGAGACAAAGCACAUCUCACUUGCUGUUGCAACGGAUUCUGAUCGCACUUGGUUAUUCUUGUAGACAGUACCUGUCACAUGCAAUGAUAUUGUCAAUAAGUUUGCCUGAGAUAUCAAAGAUCGAAGGAAUUGUUUCUCAGGUCAAAAGCUCCACAAUACUAUCUCUCGUUGAUGCUGCUUCUCAUGCAGCAUUGGAGCUUCAGAGAUUGCCUCGUUGCAUUUGAGUUUAGACAGGUUAGUUGUUUGCUUUGGUUCUAUGCCACUUUCUUAUCUUCCUUUUCCAUCAGGAGUUAUCACAUCAUAAUAAACCUUGUUCAUCACUCGGAUUAUAACUUAUUGAAACCUUAAACACUUGCUUUGCUAUGAGUGCAGCCAACAAUGUGUUGAAGCAUGUUAUAUCUCCCUUUUGGCACAGAUACAUAAACUGCAGCUCGGAUCAAAUGGAUAUUGUGAAUGGGGAGAUAACUGUGGUUGUCAUCGACCUUUUGUAUAAACCAAUGUAUGACUAUCAUCCUUAAUAUCUUCAAUUGAGUGGUAUUCUUUGUAAUACUUCAUGCAGAUACCAGUAAAUUUUUGUAAUCAAUGGUAAGCCAUAAUAGUUCAAUUUAUCAUUUAUGCCCUUUUCCAGGUUCUGCAUCUUUCAUUUUGAGGUAAAGACUUUUACCUUUUACAUGCCCAUCCUCUCCCUCCCACAUUUUAUACAUAAUGUACAUUCAAUUUAGUGGUAUGUAUAAGUUAUGAUAAAGUAUGUGCAAAAUCUGUAUAAAAAUUGUAUUUUCAAACAUUUGAUCAGUUUGUUUUCUUGUCAUGUUUCAUCCAAUAUCGUACAACUUACAUACAAUUUGGUGGAGGGUUGAGCAAGACUGAAUUGGAAAUAUUACACUCCCCUCUAUUUCUAAUGCCCUAAAACUUUGAUUCGAGAUUCAAAAUUAUAGUCAAUGGUGUUUUCUCAACCUGGAUUAUGAUAAGUCUUAAUUGCGUCCUCAAACAUAGAUAUUUAGAACUAUUUACCUCCUAAUUUAUGAGAAGUAUUAAUUACCUCCUUUUACUAUGUUUCAAUUUAUAUGACUUAUUUUUCUUUUCCGAAUCUCAAAAGGAAUGACAAAUUUUUAGAUUUAGUAAAAAUUUAACUUAAAUUUUUUUUGUUUACUCCUGAUGAAAUGAUUUAUAGUCAUAUAAAUAUUUAUGACUUAUUUUAGACUGCAUCUCUUUUAGAUUUUAUGUCAAGUCAAACUACAUCAUAUAAAUAAGAACAAAGAUUAAAUUUACUUAAUAUAGACAUAUGUUAUUCUUUGUGGAGGGUAAGUGAGUCAUAUAAAAUGAAUGGAGUAAUUUUUUCCAUCAUGUGGCAUAUUAGAGGGUAAAUAAUUUCAAAAUUCCAUGUUUGAGGGGGUAAUCAAGACAUUUCACAAUUUUGAGGUGUGAAGAGAUCCAAAAAUCUAUGACAUUUCAUAGUUUAGGAGGGAGGGGUGGUAAAGAGUUCCAAAAAUCCAUGUUUAAGGGGGUAUUAAGACUUUUCAUAGGUUAGGUGUGCAUGCCAAGUUUAAGAGGCUUUUUAGCUAUUAACUCAAUAAAUAAGGUUUGACAUGAGGGAUGGAGAUCACAGAUCUUGAAAUACUCAAAUGCACUUUAAAGAAGAAAAUAAAAACCUGAGGUUUGAGAGUCCCUAUGGGUUCAGAUGAUGAUUUGAAAUUUAGUUGAAUAGUUUGGACGAGUCUCGAGAGGCUCAAAAGCGUUUCAAAUACUUAAAAUUGAAAAUUAAUGAAUUUAAUAAAUAAGAAUUGACGAGGAUCAAAUAUGUGUCUAUACAACCUGGAUCUGUCAAGUUCCUAACCUUGGUGAGAUCGAUGGAAACUCGAUGCCUUAACCUGACCUAAGGGUGGCAACGGGUCUAGGUUUGGUGGGUCGGAACGACUGGAAUUAGGAUGACUCUAGUCGGGUUUCCUCCGGGACUAGGAUCAACCGGGUCACGAUACUCAGGAUGAAAUGGAAGUCCCCUCCUGUCACUUCUGAGCCAACACCCUAGAUGUGUCCGGCACUCGAGAACCAUUGUUGGUCCUCAAGCGAACCCUUAGCAUGACUAACUACUUAGCGAAAAACUAACUCAAGCAGAAUCAAGCUUUAAACAGAAUUAAACCUUUUAAUCUCAAAGUACUCAAAUGUCUCAAAAUACUCCAAAAACAAGAAUUGUUGAAAUACAAUUUAACAAACGAAUACAUAAAAUAUAUUCAAAACUAACUAUCUAUGAAUCCUCUGUUGUUCCAGAUGGAUGUUGGGACAAGAUCCACGACACCUCAAAAUAACUAACUAAAAGAUGAAAGUAGAGUCCUCUAGAAUGCAAGGAGGCUCACCAAAGCUAAUUGGAAGUGCAAGUGAUCUCAACGAAGCGCCUGUUGAUGAUCCUGAAUACCUGUAUAUUCAUUAUAAAAAGAUGCAGGUCGAAUGAUAUUAGUACAUUGAAUGUAUGAGUAUGUAAUAUCGCGAAAGCAAAAUACCUGAAUGAAAGGACUACAAUAGAUAUAAAUAUAUACUCAACUGUAAGUAAAUAAAUAAAAGAGUGAAAAUAUUUAAACUUUACAAAUACUUACUCAACUCUGAACUCAACAUAUUAAGUGAUAUGAUAAAAAUACACUUUUAACUCUAUCUAGGAGAUUCUCUAACUGAUAACCAUCACUAUAAGCAAUGCAAUGGUACAACGUCUCGCUCAUGCUGCUAGAACUGUCAUAUACCUUGCGGGGAUAUAGAACAUCUCAGCUAAGUGGAUCCACUAAGGCUCUGCUUGAAAGCAAUAAGGAGUCGUCUAAAAAGUACGAUCUUUUACCCAUGUUGGCUACAUGGUUUAUGAGGAAUGUGAGUUGUCUGAACUCAUCCCCAUAUCAGUGCUCAAUACUACUCCCAAUAAAUAUAUACUCAUGCUAAAAUGUAUAAAACAUAUUCUUUCUCAAUUUUGAGGUAAUUUCUCAAAAUAUCCUCUUUAAAGAGGUAAUGCUCUGAAAUAUCUCUAAACUCGUUAACUCAUUUAGAAAUCAAAAUAUCUUUUUUCUCAAUGUAAAAAAGUGAUACAUUUGGGAAUACUUAGUUCCCUUAUACUCUUACUCAAAUCAUGUUUAAAUCUCUUUCUCAAAACUCAUCUUUCCUUUCUCCGAAAAUCAGUUUAAGAUAAAAAUAUUUACUUGAAAAGAUUCUCAAAAAUUAUAACUCAAAAUAGGGUUCAUGCUGAAAUAUAAACAUGAACACCUCAACUCAAGGAUCUCAAUAACAAUAUAGAAAACUCAAUACUAAGAAAUCCAAAACUCACAACUCAAUGAUACUACUCAUCUCAAGAAUACUCAAAAUUCAUGAUAAAAUCCUAGAUUACUCUGUUACUGAAUUUAGAUAGAUGUAAGGCGUGAGGACGAACUCAGUUUGCCACUAUGAUAGCCUUACAUACUUGGAAGAACAAAGUUCUUGGUAAAAUCGGUGAAAACUCGAAGAAUGCUUAAAACAUUAGAUUUCUCCUCUUGGAUCAUUGCUCUAAGACUUGGAAGCGCGUUAAUGAACGUAAAAGGAUUGAUUAACACUGUUCAAACCCUUAACUAGGUGUAAAAAUAUCGUGGUUUAGACUUAGAAGAGGUGGGAAAAGACUAAACUAUCCCUCUUUAAAACUAACGAAAACCUUCCACAUGUCCAUCUACGGUAUCUACGGACCGUAGAUCCCAUCUGUGGAAUUUAUAUUGAAUUUUAAGGCUCAAAAUUUUAUUCUAUGAAUCCAAUCUACAUACUACAUGUAAACCUCCUUAAAAUAUGUGAUUCCAAUAGUACUUGGGGAUCACAAGCCUAUAGCAUUUUGUGUUUUGUUAAUCCUCAUGGUAAAAUUCAUGAUUUUAAUGUUACUUAUAAGAUAAUGUUGAAUUCUCAUACAAAUAAUCGAGUCCUGAAUAUGGAGAAAAUCCUAUUGGGAGCGCCAUCCCCGAAAGGGCCCUGCAGUGCGUGAUCUGGAUUUAGUCGGAACUCCAAUGUGGGCUCCGGACGGAAAACCAAAAAGACUUUUUCAAUAGGAGCUAAAUCCAAGUGAUGUUGGAUUUUAUAGGCUUAUAUACCUAAGAAAUAUGCAACAAAGUAUUUUCUUCAAAUCCAAAGAGAGGACAUGGGCUUUUAUGAUGCAUAAAGAGACUAUGAAAGUUUAGAUAUUGUUAUUGUAAAAGAAAUAAAUUUUUUUUACACAAAGGGUUGGCAUAAAUUUGUGAAAGCUAAAGGUUUAAGAGCAAAUGAUACAAUUAUUUUCACAAAUAAUUGUACCUUUUGCUCUUAAACCUCCGUCUUUCACAAACUUAUGCCAACCCUUUUGGAAAAUAAUUUUUUUGAUUUCUUUUGCAAUAACAAUACCCGAACUUCCAUAAUCUGCUUGAUAUAUCAUAAAAUCUCACGUUCACUUUGGAUUUAAGAAAAAUAAAUACGUUAUUGCAUAUUUCUUAGGUAAAUACAAGACUAGAAAGUCCAACAUCAUCCAUCAUUAUCCUAAGUAACAUUGAAAUCAUGAAUUUUACCAAAAAAAUUAACAAAAACACAAGAUACUAUAGGCUUUUGAUCCCUAAGUAAUAUUUUAAUAUCACAUUUUAAAAAGGGUUACAUAUAGUAUAUAGAUAUCCUCGUGGUGGUAACCUGACAGUAUACAAAUCAUUACACUAAUGGUGUAUAUAAUUUAAACUCUUACGAAUUUAUAUUUUUUGUGAAUCGUUGUAUGUAAAUAUCUCUGGUAUGACAUGCAACAACAACAACAUACAUAUCUAGUGUAAUCCCACAAGUGACAUAUAGGGAGAGUAGUGUCUACACAUACCUUAGGACAAUGACCAUUAUGUUGGCCUACAACACCUUUGAGUCUUCAUCUAGAAUUGCAAGUUUUUUUCUCACAUGCAUGAAUCUUGUAUAUUUUGGGCAAUAGAUGAUUGCUCGCUCUUAAAAUGCAAUCACCAACUGUUACGUAUGUGAUUGUACUUGAUAUUAAGGUCAUUUCGUCUUUUAUGUUGCAU